rnacentral:rRNA from 1 species
UACGAAGGGGCGAGCGUUGUUCGGAAUUACUGGGCGUAAAGGGCGCGCAGGCGGCUCUGAAAGUCAGAUGUGAAAGCCCCGGGCUUAACCUGGGAAUUGCAUUUGAUACUCUGGAGCUUGAGUACGGGAGAGGAGAGUGGAAUUCCCAGUGUAGAGGUGAAAUUCGUAGAUAUUGGGAAGAACACCGGUGGCGAAGGCGGCUCUCUGGACCGUAACUGACGCUGAGGCGCGAAAGCGUGGGGAGCAAACAGGG